rnacentral:tRNA from 1 species
AGAAAGGAAGCACAACGGUAGUGUGUUGGUCUCCAAAACCAAAGGCAAGGGGUUCGAUUCCUCUCCUUUCUG